GCCUGGCUAGCUCAAUCGACAGAUCGUGAGACUCUUAAUCUCAAGGUUGUGUUCGACCCCCGCUUUCGGCU